GUGCUCACUUCAGCAACACAUAUACUAAAAUAGGAAUGAUACAGAGAAGAUUAGCAUGGCCCCUGCACAAGGAUGACAUGAAAAUUCGUAAUGCAUUUCAUAUUUUU